rnacentral:misc_RNA from 1 species
AAUUCCAGCAGGAGUUGUUAUGGCAAAAAAGCAAGCCAUUAGUGUGGCUGAUCGGGUCUUGAACUGAGCCUGCGAGAUGCAGCCUCCAAGCGCAAACCCUUCGAAGAAUUGAUGAAAUGAUAAUGCUGCUAUUAAGGGUCUUAUAGUACAUGGGCUCUGUGAAACACCCAGUGAUAACCCAAUAAUGACCGAAUGGGAUACGAUCCCAAGUUCCAAUAUCUGCAAAUACAGAAAUCAAGAUGAGUAAUUCUUCCAAGUAAUUCACCACUAAUCUACCCUAAACUCACAACUCACCAAACCAGUAGAAAUGCACUCACCUGCGAAACCACGACAUGUCGUACACCACUCUCCUCGUCACCCUCACUAAAUCCAUGAUCAUGCCCAUGCACAUGCCCAUCUCCAUGUCCAUGCCCGUGACUGUGUCCAUGCCCGUGCCCGUCACAUGCGUCCUGGCCUUGAGGGUGGCUGUGUCUGUGGUGCGCCGCAUGCGCGUGGAUCCCCACAAUGUGCAUCGCACCGCCCUCUUCUUCUCCAAACACCUUUGCAUUCGGCCCAUUAGGCUCUUUCGCACCCGCGAAUGGAACAAUACCAGAUUCAGAACCAGCAUCAACUGACCCAACCCGUGCUUGCUCCUCACUUGCCCUGU